CAGCAGCCGCGGGAAUACGAAGGGGGCUAGCGUUGCUCGGAAUCACUGGGCGUAAAGGGUGCGUAGGCGGGUCUUUAAGUCAGGGGUGAAAUCCUGGAGCUCAACUCCAGAACUGCCUUUGAUACUGAAGAUCUUGAGUUCGGGAGAGGUGAGUGGAACUGCGAGUGUAGAGGUGAAAUUCGUAGAUAUUCGCAAGAACACCAGUGGCGAAGGCGGCUCACUGGCCCGAUACUGACGCUGAGGCACGAAAGCGUGGGGAGCAAACAGGAUUAGAUACCCCUGUAGUCCCUGUCUCUUAUAC
rnacentral:rRNA from 1 species